UCUGUCAUUGCAGAAUCUCUGCGGGCCCCCUCAGUCUAUCCCAUAUUCUCUUGCUGCGGUCCUGAGGACAACGAUAAUCAGACAGGAAAGGCCCUCGCCUGCCUCGUGACAGGCUACCUUCCAGAGCCAGUGGAUGUCAAGUGGAAUUCUGGCAAAGUGACUCAGGGGAUCACGACUUUCCCAGCUGUUCUGGGCAAAGAUGGAGACUUCACCCUCACCAGCCAGCUCACCAUCCCUGCCAGCAGCCUGGAGAGCGGUGUCUACCAGUGCGAUGUGGAGCAUAGAGCUUCAACUACUUUCCUGUCUAAGGUGUUCCCUCAGCAAACAUGUAGGGGGGUUUUGCCCGCUCCACCCCAGGUUCAUCUCCUGCCCCCAUCCUGCAAUGACAACUCUUGGGAGAAGCAGCUGGGGCUGGUUUGUCUCCUCCUGGACUUCAUCCCUGGCCAAGCCAAUGUGGAAUGGCUCAUGAAUGGGGUGAAGAAGAACCUCCCUGGCAUGGGCUUCUCCUCUGCAAAGGGCACAGGUGGCUUGCACAUGGGGCAGAGUCGAGUGAACAUCACCAGGGAGAGCUGGGAUAAUGGCGAUGUCUACACAUGCAAAGUCACCCAUCCAGCACUGGACAAAAAAGACUUGAUGCUGAAUGUGAGCAAGUGCUCAGCCUGCCUCAGUAAUUCAGUGGAUCCAUCCAUCUAUGUCAUCCUGCCAUCUUAUGAUGAUCUGGUUGAUAAUGAGGGCCGUGUUACCUGCCUGGUUCUGGGCUACAGCAUAGCAGGUGCUCAGGUGUCUUGGGAAGUGGAUGGGAAGGCCAGCUCUCUGUCUGAGAUGGGCGCUGUUGUGACACAAGACAACGGGACCCAGAGUGUCACAAGCACCCACAGAAUAACCUUGACUCAGUGGAAGACCAGGACAAGAUUCACCUGCAAUGUGGUGCUUCCCUGUUCGAGAGAAGUCAGGCAGGAUGCCCCUACAAUGGACAUGACACACCCAGCUCAGGCACCUACUGUCUCAGUCAGUGUUUCCAGUUUGGAUCCAGAUGAAACUCCAGGGAAGGGCGAUUCCUUCAUACUCCUCUGUGAUGUCACGGGAUUCUUCCCGCAAGAGAUCAGCCUGCACUGGGAGCACAAGGGUGUGAAAGUGUUCCCUUCCCAGUACACCAACGGGUCCAUCAUUAGGACUGGCCAGACAUUCUCCACUCACAGCCUCCUGCGGGUGCCCCAACUGGAGGGGGAAAGAGCUACAGUGUCUGACUAUUCCUGUGUGGUGCAGCAUGUGGCUUUGGAUGACACUUUGAAGGUCAAUGCGUUGACAGGAGAGGGUCCCUGCAAGCCCCUGCAAGUGGAGGUUUUUCUCCGCCCCCCUUCCCUGGAGGACCUCUAUCUUGCCAAGAAUGCCACCAUCACCUGCCUGGUCAUCAACAUGGAGACAACUAGCAGUUUGGAGAUCAUGUGGAACCGUACAAGUGGAGGCCGGCUGGAUGUGGUGUUGACAAAACCAGUUUUUCAAAGAAAUGGCAGCUACAGUGUUUCCAGUGCCCUGUGGGUGCAUCUGGAGGAAUGGAAGUCUGGGGAGGAAUUCACCUGCAUGGUGAAACACCAAGAUAUCCCAUCAGCCAUCGUUAAAACAGUGCACAAGAGUCAGGAAGUCUCAACCCGGGCCCCUUCUGUCUACAUUUACUCUCCUCAUGUGGAUGAGCUGGCCCUUCGGGAAUCAGCCACUGUGACCUGCUUGGCCAAAGGCUUCCGCCCCAGUGACAUCCUGGUGACAUGGACCCAGCAGGACCAGCCCAUGCCCCAGAAAGCCUUCAUCAACAUUGGCCCCUUCCAAGAAACCAGGGAGAAGGGAACAACCUACUUUAUCUACAGCAAGCUCAGUGUCCCAGCAUCACAGUGGCAGCGGGGAGACACGUUUGCCUGUGUGGUGGGCCACGAAGGUUUCCCGAUGACCUUUGUCCACAGGAGUGUGGACAAAUCCUCUGGUAAACCUACUGCUGUCAAUGUCUCUGUGAUCUUGUCUGAUACUGAUGUCAGCUGCUACUAAGAAGGCAGAGCCCUGCAAGUCUUGUGUGUCUGCAGUGCCUUGUAGCCUGUAUGUAAAGCAGAAGGAGCUCACGUGGAAGAAGCUUGGCCAUAUAUGUUGUAUGUCUAA